UGUGUGGAUUUACGAUCAUUAUUAGUUGUAACGUUGUGUGUAGAAGACGCUAUGGCUUCAUAUUUAGCUGUUUUUUUGUUUGUUGCCUUUCUUGGAGCGGUGUAUUCAACUCCAGUUGAUGAAAAGGAGUUUGAAUGUCCUGAAAACGAAGUGUACUAUAAGUGUUCGUUGGAGGUGUGCUUUAAAAAAUGUCAGGAUAUGAGGAGUCCCCCUCCAUGUCCAUCCAUCGCUAGCGGCUGCGUGAAACCAUCGUGCGAAUGCAAGAGUAAUUAUCUAAGAAACGACAAGGGUGUGUGUGUGCCCUUGUCAGAAUGCUGAAUUAUUGGGGAGCGUUGAUCGAAGCACUGAGUAUACCCUUCGAUCAACAAUACUUGUAUUGUUGUUCGAAGAUUGUACCAAUUGAAUUGAUGAUGCUACGACUUUUUUUAUUUCGAUAUAUCGUUUGUUAAAUAAUAAUGUUUUUAUAAUCAA